UAGGGUUACAGGUCUUUUAGAAUUUGUCUAGCAGGUUUUCUGGUCCUUACCAAAAGACCCCU
rnacentral:snRNA from 1 species